rnacentral:rRNA from 1 species
UUAAGCGACUAAGCGUACACGGUGGAUGCCCUGGCAGUCAGAGGCGAUGAAGGACGUGCUAAUCUGCGAAAAGCGUCGGUAAGGUGAUAUGAACCGUUACAGCCGGCGAUGUCCGAAUGGGGAAACCCAGUGCGAUUCGUUGCACUAUCGUUAACUGAAUACAUAGGUUAACGAGGCGAACCGGGGGAACUGAAACAUCUAAGUACCCCGAGGAAAAGAAAUCAACCGAGAUUCCCCCAGUAGCGGCGAGCGAACGGGGAGCAGCCCAGAGUCUGAAUCAGCUUGUGUGUUAGUGGAACGGUCUGGAAAGUCCGACGGUACAGGGUGAUAGUCCCGUACACCAAAAUGCACAGGUUGUGAACUCGAAGAGUAGGGCGGGACACGUGGUAUCCUGUCUGAAUAUGGGGGGACCAUCCUCCAAGGCUAAAUACUCCUGACUGACCGAUAGUGAACCAGUACCGUGAGGGAAAGGCGAAAAGAACCCCGGCGAGGGGAGUGAAAAAGAACCUGAAACCGUGUACGUACAAGCAGUGGGAGCACCUUCGGGUGUGACUGCGUACCUUUUGUAUAAUGGGUCAGCGACUUAUAUUCUGUAGCAAGGUUAACCGUAUAGGGGAGCCGCAGGGAAACCGAGUCUUAACUGGGCGUUAAGUUGCAGGGUAUAGACCCGAAACCCGGUGAUCUAGCCAUGGGCAGGUUGAAGGUUGGGUAACACUAACUGGAGGACCGAACCGACUAAUGUUGAAAAAUUAGCGGAUGACUUGUGGCUGGGGGUGAAAGGCCAAUCAAACCGGGAGAUAGCUGGUUCUCCCCGAAAGCUAUUUAGGUAGCGCCUCGUGAACUCAUCUUCGGGGGUAGAGCACUGUUUCGGCUAGGGGGUCAUCCCGACUUACCAACCCGAUGCAAACUACGAAUACCGAAGAAUGUUAUCACGGGAGACACACGGCGGGUGCUAACGUCCGUCGUGAAGAGGGAAACAACCCAGACCGCCAGCUAAGGUCCCAAAGUCAUGGUUAAGUGGGAAACGAUGUGGGAAGGCACAGACAGCCAGGAUGUUGGCUUAGAAGCAGCCAUCAUUUAAAGAAAGCGUAAUAGCUCACUGGUCGAGUCGGCCUGCGCGGAAGAUGUAACGGGGCUAAACCAUGCACCGAAGCUGCGGCAGCGACACUAUGUGUUGUUGGGUAGGGGAGCGUUCUGUAAGCCUGCGAAGGUGUGCUGUGAGGCAUGCUGGAGGUAUCAGAAGUGCGAAUGCUGACAUAAGUAACGAUAAAGCGGGUGAAAAGCCCGCUCGCCGGAAGACCAAGGGUUCCUGUCCAACGUUAAUCGGGGCAGGGUGAGUCGACCCCUAAGGCGAGGCCGAAAGGCGUAGUCGAUGGGAAACAGGUUAAUAUUCCUGUACUUGGUGUUACUGCGAAGGGGGGACGGAGAAGGCUAUGUUAGCCGGGCGACGGUUGUCCCGGUUUAAGCAUGUAGGCUGGUUAUCCAGGCAAAUCCGGAUAAUCAAGGCUGAGGUGUGAUGACGAGGCACUACGGUGCUGAAGUAACAAAUGCCCUGCUUCCAGGAAAAGCCUCUAAGCAUCAGGUAACAUCAAAUCGUACCCCAAACCGACACAGGUGGUCAGGUAGAGAAUACCAAGGCGCUUGAGAGAACUCGGGUGAAGGAACUAGGCAAAAUGGUGCCGUAACUUCGGGAGAAGGCACGCUGGUGUGUAGGUGAAGUCCCUGCGGAUGGAGCUGAGACCAGUCGAAGAUACCAGCUGGCUGCAACUGUUUAUUAAAAACACAGCACUGUGCAAACACGAAAGUGGACGUAUACGGUGUGACGCCUGCCCGGUGCCGGAAGGUUAAUUGAUGGGGUUAUCCGUAAGGAGAAGCUCUUGAUCGAAGCCCCGGUAAACGGCGGCCGUAACUAUAACGGUCCUAAGGUAGCGAAAUUCCUUGUCGGGUAAGUUCCGACCUGCACGAAUGGCGUAAUGAUGGCCAGGCUGUCUCCACCCGAGACUCAGUGAAAUUGAACUCGCUGUGAAGAUGCAGUGUACCCGCGGCAAGACGGAAAGACCCCGUGAACCUUUACUAUAGCUUGACACUGAACAUUGAGCCUUGAUGUGUAGGAUAGGUGGGAGGCUUUGAAGCGUGGACGCCAGUCUGCGUGGAGCCAACCUUGAAAUACCACCCUUUAAUGUUUGAUGUUCUAACGUUGGCCCCUGACCGGGGUUGCGGACAGUGUCUGGUGGGUAGUUUGACUGGGGCGGUCUCCUCCCAAAGCGUAACGGAGGAGCACGAAGGUUAGCUAAUCCUGGUCGGACAUCAGGAGGUUAGUGCAAUGGCAUAAGCUAGCUUGACUGCGAGCGUGACGGCGCGAGCAGGUGCGAAAGCAGGUCAUAGUGAUCCGGUGGUUCUGAAUGGAAGGGCCAUCGCUCAACGGAUAAAAGGUACUCCGGGGAUAACAGGCUGAUACCGCCCAAGAGUUCAUAUCGACGGCGGUGUUUGGCACCUCGAUGUCGGCUCAUCACAUCCUGGGGCUGAAGUAGGUCCCAAGGGUAUGGCUGUUCGCCAUUUAAAGUGGUACGCGAGCUGGGUUUAGAACGUCGUGAGACAGUUCGGUCCCUAUCUGCCGUGGGCGCUGGAGAAUUGAGGGGGGCUGCUCCUAGUACGAGAGGACCGGAGUGGACGCAUCACUGGUGUUCGGGUUGUCAUGCCAAUGGCACUGCCCGGUAGCUAAAUGCGGAAGAGAUAAGUGCUGAAAGCAUCUAAGCACGAAACUUGCCCCGAGAUGAGUUCUCCCUGAGACUUUAAGUCUCCUGAAGGAACGUUGAAGACGACGACGUUGAUAGGCCGGGUGUGUAAGCGCAGCGAUGCGUUGAGCUAACCGGUACUAAUGAACCGUGAGGCUUAACCUU